rnacentral:rRNA from 1 species
CGGCGGCUGCUACCUGCAGUCGAACGGGCGUAGCGUACCUUGCUGUGCACGGGUGAGUAACGCGUGGAAACGUGCCUUUUGGUUCGGACCAUCUGGGGGAACUUCCACUAAUACCUGAUAAACCCUUACGGGGAAAGAUUUAUCGCCAAAAGAUCAUCCCACGACUGAUUACCUAUGUGGUGACGUAAUGGCUAAUCACUGCUACGAUCAGUAACUGGUCUGAGAGGAUGAUAUCCCACAUUGGGACUGAAACACGAUCCACCCUCCUACAGGAGGCACCAGUGGGGAAUAUUGGACAAUGGGGGCAACCCUGAUCCAUCCAUGCCGCGUGAGUGAUGAAUGCCCUAGGGUUGUAAGGCUCUUUUGUGCCUUAAGAUUAUGACGGUCCCUCAGGAAUAAACCCCGGCUAACUUCUUGCCAGCGUCCGCGAUAAUACUAACGGAGCUAGAGUUGCUCGGAAUCUCUGGGCCUAAAGGGUGCGUAAGCGGGUUUCUGAGUCCGAUGUGAAAACCUGGAGCUCAACUCCCGAGCUGCCUUUGAUACUGGAAAUCUUGAUUAUGGCACAGGUGACUGGAACUGCAAUUGUCUAGGUGAUGUUCGAAUAUAUUCCCAAGAACACCGGUGGCGAACGCGGCUCACUGGGCCAUUACUGACACUGAUGCACGAACGCGUGUGGAGCAAACAGGAUUAUGUACCCUGGUAGUCCCCGCCGUACACGAUGAAUGCCAGCCGUUAGUGGGAUUUACUCACGAGUGUCGCAGCUAUCGCUUUAUCAUUCGUCUUGGGUAGUACUGUCGCAAGAUAAAACUCAAUGAAUUGA